rnacentral:lncRNA from 1 species
UUUGCAACACUUUGGGGUUGGCAUCUCUGAUAAUGAACAGAAAAAGUUGGAGAUCAUGAAUAUUUGAUGGAAAUUUGUACAAAUUUGUAAUUCUCUGCAAGAAAGUAUCCCUCAAAUAUUAAUGUCCCCUAAAACGUUUUGUUCUGUAUAGUGUGACACCCAUUUCCAGUGUCACAAUAUUUUAGGUGUACCCUUUUCUUUGGUUUUGACAGACCCAUAUUGAAUCUGAAGGAAUAUAGAUUGUCAACAUGUACAGGAAUUGUCAACGUAUAGCAAUUGUUAACGUGUAUAGCAAUUGUCAACGUAUAGCAAUUGUCAAAAUGUAAUUCUUCAUUUGUGUUUCACAUUAUGAAUUUUGGUUACAUUAAAAGUCUACAUGACUUAAAAGUAUAAGUGACACUCUUUAACAACACCAGCAGCUUUCUGAUGUUAUUUAAAUUAAAUAACAACAUCAAAAUGUUUUCCCACAAACACUUCCCCCUUGGCAUUUUGAAAGAUCACGCCUGUUGUGGGCGUCUUCCUAUAUUUCAUAUUAUUGGAUGUAAGAGUGUAAGUGUCAGGUUUCUGUGGAGGAAAUAGUUAGAGGAAGUAUGUGAUUAGUAGGAAAUUAUAUAAUUUAAUUGUCUAUCUUGUGUCAGUCACUGUGAGAUUAGCCAUUAUACAUUUCAUAUUGUGUAUAUGUUCCUCUUGGGUUUGAAUCCAAAACUUAAACCCUGAGUCCUGUGUCUUGGUAGUUGCCAAGAUGACUGGAAGGUUCAGGGGGUCAGGUCUCAGCUUGGGAUGCAGGUCGUAAGAGGAGACUUCAUUGAUAGAAUGGUCAACCUGUGUAACUUUGUUGAGUGUGCGUCAUGAUACUCAGUUCAGGGGGUCAGGUCUCAGCUUGGGAUACAGGUCGUAAGAGGAGACUUCAUUGAUAGAAUGGUCAACCUAUGUAACUUUGUUGAGUGUGUGUCAUGAUACUCAGUUCAGGGGGUCAGGUCUCAGCUUGGGAUACAGGUCGUAAGAGGAGACUUCAUUGAUAGAAUGGUCAACCUGUGUAACUUUGUUGAGUGUACGUCAUGAUACUCAGUUCAGGGGGUCAGGUCUCAGCUUGGGAUACAGGUCGUAAGAGGAGACUUCAUUGAUAGAAUGGUCAACCUAUGUAACUUUGUUGAGUGUACGUCAUGAUACUCAGUUCAGGGGGUCAGGUCUCAGCUUGGGAUACAGGUCGUAAGAGGAGACUUCAUUGAUAGAAUGGUCAACCUAUGUAACUUUGUUGAGUGUGUGUCAUGAUACUCAGUUCAGGGGGUCAGGUCUCAGCUUGGGAUACAGGUCGUAAGAGGAGACUUCAUUGAUAGAAUGGUCAACCUAUGUAACUUUGUUGAGUGUGCGUCAUGAUACUCAGUUCAGGGGGUCAGGUCUCAGCUUGGGAUACAGGUCGUAAGAGGAGACUUCAUUGAUAGAAUGGUCAACCUAUGUAACUUUGUUGAGUGUGUGUCAUGAUACUCAGUUCAGGGGGUCAGGUCUCAGCUUGGGAUACAGGUCGUAAGAGGAGACUUCAUUGAUAGAAUGGUCAACCUAUGUAACUUUGUUGAGUGUGUCAUGAUACUCAGUUCAGGGGUCAGGUCUCAGCUUGGGAUACAGGUCGUAAGAGGAGACUUCAUUGAUAGAAUGGUCAACCUGUGUAACUUUGUUGAGUGUGCGUCAUGAUACUCAGUUCAGGGGGUCGGGUCUCAGCUUGGGAUACAGGUCGUAAGAGGAGACUUCAUUGAUAGAAUGGUCAACCUAUGUAACUUUGUUGAGUGUGCGUCAUGAUACUCAGUGGACAUGGAUUGUUGCUCAUGAUGUCACAUUGUGUGAUGAACUAACGUGUAAAUGUCUGUAUCAUUGACCUACAUCUGUGAGUGUGACCGAUAUUACUGAAGGCCUACUUAGUGCAUCCAGGACUUAUGAAUGUGUACAAGCCCUUACUGCCCCAUACUCACAUCAGAGUGUGUGACACAUCACCAAUACACUCAGCUCUACCAGAGUUGCUUACCCUUGUGCCAACAUACGUUAUGAUACCUGCAGUCAAACCACUCAGGAUUUCAGUAACUGCUAGAAAGCAUCUUUGAAUCUCGUGAAAUUAGACAAAUACUAAGUCUCUGAAAUGUAGAAUUUUGAUAGAAACAAAUAGCUCCAUUAAAUUGAAGAGGUGCUCAAGUAUGCUGGGAGAUUCAGAAUCUGAACCUGAGAGAAAUCUAGACUUGCUUCAUUUAGGGCUGAGCAGAAGGGAAAAUAAUGUGAUUCAGGGACUAUCUUAUGUUUCGGUGAGCAGUGUUUUUCCAAGAAUUGUUAUAUAACUUACAAGGUUUCUGAGAACGAAGACACUGUUAUAGUUUUAUAUUUAGUUUGCCAUUUUAUCAACCUGCUACAAUCAUGAAAGAGACAGAGUGGUAGCCUAAUGGUUAAAGCGUCCACUCGUCCAGCACAAGGCCUGGGUUCUAUUCAUUGUGUGAAUCCUUUUUCUGGUGUCCCUCUCUGUGAUAUUACUGGAAUAUUGCUAAAAGCAGCU